rnacentral:rRNA from 1 species
UAGAGGUGAAAUUCGUAGAUAUUAGAAAGAAUACCAAUUGCGAAGGCAGCUUUCUGGAUCAUUACUGACACUGAGGAACGAAAGCAUGGGUAGCGAAGAGGAUUAGAUACCCUCGUAGUCCAUGCCGUAAACGAUGUGUGUUAGACGUUGGAAAUUUAUUUUCAGUGUCGCAGGGAAACCGAUAAACACACCGCCUGGGGAGUACGACCGCAAGGUUAAAACUCAAAUGAAUUGACGGGGACCCGCACAAGUAGUGGAGCAUGUGGUUUAAUUCGAAGAUACGCGCAGAACCUUACCAACACUUGACAUGUUCGUCGCGACUCUAAGAGAUUAGAGUUUUCGGUUCGGCCGGACGAAACACAGGUGCUGCAUGGCUGUCGUCAGCUCGUGUCGUGAGAUGUUGGGUUAAGUCCCGCAACGAGCGCAACCCUCACUUUUAGUUGCCAUCAUUAAGUUGGGCACUCUGAAAGAACUGCCAGUGAUAAGCUGGAGGAAGGUGGGGAUGACGUCAAGUCCUCAUGGCCCUUACGUGUUGGGCUACACACGUGCUACAAUGGCAUCUACAACAGGAAGCAAAACGGCAACGUUAAGCAAAUCCCGAAAAGAUGCCUCAGUUCGGAUUGCACUCUGCAACUCGAGUGCAUGAAGCUGGAAUUACUAGUAAUCGUGGAUCAGCGUGCCACGGUGAAUGCGUUCCCGGGUCUUGUACACACCGCCCGUCACACCAUGGGAGUUGGUUCUACCUUAAGGCAAGGUUUUAAACCCUUGACCACGGUAUAGUCAGCGACUGGGGU